ACAUACAUUUUGCUGGCGUCAUCACAGGGAAAUGUAGUAAGGUUCUUUUACUGGGUCAAUUUCAAUUCCCCGAGGCAGACAAGACUUAACGAGGAUCUGUCACCCAACUUGGUCUUCCCAGCCACAAAGGGCAGACCCUGUGGGACCUUCCUCAUGCAGCUGAGCCACUGACUGAGAAAAUGUUCCUCACCACAAACCCUGCCAGAAAUUUCUCGGGUUUAUUCAAGCUUAUCUGUGUUCCGGAACAAUUUGGGGGAAAGAAAAUUGACUAGAAAUGCUCUAACAAGUUCCUGUUCGGAAAACAGCACCGAAAAAGCCCGGAGGAGGAUCUCAGGAGGCGGUGCUCACGCCUGGGUCAGUCCUAAGGAAGUAAUUGCUGUGGUGCUGGCAAGUUUAAUAAGCAGAGAGAAGCUGAAGAAAAACUGAGCAUUGCAAAAGAAAGAGAAAUAUUAAAUUUGAAUUAAGAAUUCAUCCUCCCCAACACUUUAUUAUGAAAACUUUCAAACAACAAGGCUCAAAGAAUGUCUCCAGCGAGCCCCUCCCCUGUACGACCACCACUGCCUCGGCUGUGCUGUUACCACGUGACUUUACGAGCUGUCUGGGAUCUCGUUCUCCCUCCGUCCUUCUCCAGGGCAGGUGGGGGGAGGGGAGCCGAAAGGGGCAGAGGGAGAAUCGUAAG